AUUGAACGCUGGCGGAAUGCUUUACACAUGCGAGUCGAACGGCAGCACGGACUUCGGUCUGGUGGCGAGUGGCGAACGGGUGAGUAAUGUAUCGGAACGUGCCCAGUCGUGGGGGAUAACGUAGUGAAAAUUACGCUAAUACCGCAUACGAUCUAUGGAUGAAAGCGGGGGAUCGCAAGACCUCGCGCGAUUGGAGCGGCCGAUAUCAGAUUAGGUAGUUGGUGGGGUAAAGGCCCACCAAGCCAACGAUCUGUAGCUGGUCUGAGAGGACGACCAGCCACACUGGAACUGAGACACGGUCCAGACUCCUACGGGAGGCAGCAGUGGGGAGUUUUGGACAAUGGGCGAAAGCCUGAUCCAGCCAUUCCGCGUGCAGGAUGAAGGCCCUCGGGUUGUAAACUGCUUUUGUACAGAACGAAAAGGUUUCUACUAAUACUAGGAGCUCAUGACGGUACUGUAAGAAUAAGCACCGGCUAACUACGUGCCAGCAGCCGCCGUAA
rnacentral:rRNA from 1 species